UAACGUUGGUAAGUCUUGAUAUUCAGAGGGCUGAUAUGCAUUUCAAUAUAUAACUACUAUGUGUCACUUGAAAUCGAAAACGCAUCCUUUGACUCUUCCAUCAACUUGCAACUCCUCAGUUUCAUCUCGACCACGACAGGAGAUGCAGAGCGCCGCAGCAGACUUUAGUGGAGGAUGAAGAGAAUUAAAGAAGUGCCAUGGUUUUGUGAAGUGAUUCGUCCAAUGAACAACCGAAGACUACGCCCUUCAACUGUCGAUGUGUGAUGUCUAUUUUCUGUUACCCCAUGAACAGCGUGUUAGACUCGCCGUUAGCCAGCCGUGGUGCUGGUACACGAGCUGCAAUGUUUUAAGUCAAAAGACUCCACAACUCUGAUGUUUAUUUUUUUUUUUUUUUUUUUUAAUAAAAUUUUCUCGACA